UGUUAAGGGUAGCAUAAUAACUUGUCUUUUAAUUUAAGAAUAGAAUGAACGAAUAAACAUUAAGAGCCCUGUCUCAUUAUAAACCCUAAAAAUUUAUAUGGAGGUGAAAAAGCCCCCAUCAAAAAAAAAAGACAAAAAGACCCUAGAAGCUUGUAAAUAAUAAAAAUAAUUUAAUAGUUAUUUUUUGGCUGGGAGGGCAUAAAGUCUAUACAACACUUUAAAUUAAAAAGAAAUAUAUCUACUAAAUCAACCCCAAUAAGAAUAUAAGUAAGCUACUCUAGGGGUAACAUUUUAUUGCUCCUUAAGAGUACAUAUUGACAGGAGUGUUUGGCACCUCGAUGUUGGCUUAGGAAUCUUAUUUUAUGCA
rnacentral:rRNA from 1 species